GCACACCUUAUUAUCUGAUGCAUAAUUCACAUGCCAUAUUUAGGCAUGAAUUCAACUGUGCCCUAUACACUGGAUUUCAUGCUACCGUCUUCCUUCGCUACCAACCUAAACGUGACUUAUAUCUAUCCUAUCUUCAAGGACCCUCCCGGGCACAAGUCACGGCUGAUUCGGCUCAAGACCACCCGGGCCAAAACAGGCUCGCCGCAAUGUCAGAAGGUGACCCCACCACAGCCGGCUCCGUCUCCCAUGAAUCGCCGUCUCAUCUCUGUAUCACGCGAUCAUUUGUACCUACUAUACGUGAUACGCAGCUAUACGCUACUGUGGCAUGUACUGAAUGUCUUCGUUUUCGAUACGUUGCUAAUAAAAUAAGUGAAUAAACCACA
rnacentral:lncRNA from 1 species